ensembl:lncRNA
GCGGAGAUGGAGUCACCAAGUUUGGUUCUUCUAAGCUGUUUCCUGAUACAAUGCUACGGUAGGAGAUUUUUCUUUUACUAUUAAUGUUCAAUUUUUUCUAAAUGCGGAUACAAACUUUCCUUGCUAAAUAACAGUAAGUAUCAAUAGUAGUUUUAAAUGGUCAGGUUCAAGAUGUGCUAAAAGUAAAGGGUAGCAGUACAAAUGUAAUCAUGAAUCAAUGAGUCUUUUCUCUUGAAGGGUCUACUCAUUUUCAUUACCUAAAGAAAGGGGAGGAGGUUACACUGUCCUGUGAAACAUGUCAAUGGGAGGCUGAUGUGGAUUCAGACAACAGAGUGGACUGCAGUGUCAUAGACAGUAUUUAUACCAUGAACUCAGACUGCCCUGCUGAAAGACAUGGUCUAUGCCAAGAGAUAAAGAGAAACAAAUCCACCAGUUGUGAAAUCCGUGUAAAGAGGGGAUUCUUUGCCUGUGUCAAUGCUGUAUCUGACUCCUGCUUCAUGCAUCCAUUCAAACCCUCUUCUCAUCAUGUGGAGUCCUUCAUUGUUGCUCAGGCAGAACGACAUUGUGUCUGGACCUGUAAUGGAAAACUCAGUGCUUGUGUCUGGAGGAGAAUCAAUUCAUCUGACGUGCACUUUUAAAAUAAAAGGGUAUUACUCCUAUAAUCCUUUCGUGGUGUACUGGAUCAAGACUGGUGCUCAGAGCAGCACAUGUGUGUAUUCCUUUAGUUACGUUAGUUAUGGGGAUAGUGGGUUUGAUGACCACUGUGCCAUUGACAAAGAUCUUCUGUUAAGGAGAUCACACACAUCAAGACCCUUCCUUGAUGAUAACAACAUCCAUAACCUGAAGAUCAGCAAUGCCACUCAGUCAGACCGUGGACAGUAUCUGUGUGUCUUACAGGUGAACAUAUAUAACCAGCAGUACUGGGCAGUAAUAACCAACACUACAGUCAUUGUGGAUAAUCCUGUGUCUCAAACUGCAAUAACUCAAAGAUUUCAGAACGGGGAGGAAGUGGAUGACGACGACUGUUCCCCUUAUGCGAUGGGCCAGGGAGAGCAGGAACCAACGUACUCACUCAUUCAGCUGACCAAUCAGAAGACUGACCCUGUGUUCAGUGGGGAUGGAGAACUCGCUUCAGACCCAUCAGCAGAUGAGGGCAUCAUGAGGAAGAACUCCAUAUAUGAAACCUCAGGUCCAUAGUCUCAACUGCCUGCCAGUUUCUUGCAGUGUGAGUUCCUGCAUAAAGACCAAGAUUACAUGAUCGGCCUGUUUAUAACCAGGCCUGUAAAUAACCGCAUUAGUCCUGUUUCAGUUAAAAUGAGGAAGGAACUCUCGCUGUCACAACUUCCUGACUGAAACCUAAAAUUUCCCCAGAUUGCUUUGUUUGUGGGCUUAUCCCACAGCUGUCAUUUCAGUUAUAGAAUAGAUAAAUAUGACUAUUGUUGUGAUUUGUUGGAUAGUCAUUUCUAAUGUUGGUACUUUGAGCCAAUAUGCUAGAGGUUGUUCAAAUGUGUUUGCAUGUGUUGUUUGUAAAUAAGCCAAACUGAUAAAUGAACUAAUUAAACUGUAAAUUAAAAAAGUCAGUCUUGAAGGAAAGGGGGCAUUUGUUUUUGUAGUUUCACAGAUACACCCAGUUUACCAGUUAAUAUGGUGAAGCAACUCUCGGUUUCACACAGUAAGCAUUGUGUGUAGUUUUUUUAGCACUCCCAAAAUACUCUGAAAGAGUCAACUUUUCUUUUUAAAGUCACUCAUUCUCUACAUAUUUUUCUGGUCUGUACAAGUUAACUGGUAACCCUCAGUUAGUCUAAAGAGAGCGACCUGUUUAUUACACUGAGGGUCUACAGAACCAAAACGAUCUACUGUCCAUUGCAAAGUAUUGCUUCCAUGUUUUUUACGGCAGUCUACUUUAGGUGACGUUGCUGGGCUCCCCACUAGAUGGAGCUAUUGUGCUAUACAUUUCACCUUAAUGUAGAUAUUAAUAUGACUAUAAGGUAAGCUGUUUCAAAUACAUCGAAAGAUUAGGCUACUUCAAUACACGUCGGCGUAAAAUUAUAUAACUGAAAUGACAUAGCUAAAUAUGCAUGAACAUUUUGUUAUAGGAGCAGUCACAGACCUUAGAAGUGAGGCAGACAUUGUAAUGCUCCAAGAAGCUCACUGAUCUGAAUUGGAUGUCAAAUUUUGGAGAUCACAAUGGGGAAAUACUAUACAUUAUAGUCAUGGAAGUAAUAACUCAGCAGGGGUUGCUAUACUUUUACACAAAUUCAAAGGUGAAGUGUUAGAAACAGUGAAAUCCUCUGAAGGAAGAUGGGUGAUGAUUGUCAUAAAGCAAGACAAUGGCAUUUUUAUUGUAUGUAAUGUUUAUGGAUAUAAUUCACAUUUGUCCAACAAAACUUUAUUUGUCCAGAUAUCGAAUAAUGCCAAAUUACUUCUUGACAAAUAUAGUGACUCUUAUGUUAUCUUUGAGGUGACUUUAACGGAUGUGUCGAUUCUAGUGUUGAUAGAUUCCCCCCCAGAUUGAGUAAGGUCUGUGUUCUGUCCUUGUUCGGUUUCCCCAGAUUGAGUAAGGUCUGUGUUCUGUCCUUGUUCGGUUUCUGAGUUUGUCUCCCUUGUGUUGUCACAUGUUUGUUCCCUUGUCUAGUCCUUGUGCUUUCUUGAUCCCGCCAGGGGGGUAUUCGUCGUAGCUCGCUAAGCAGUUUAGCGAGCUAAUUUUCAGGCUAAGAUAAAAAACGCCCCUCUUUUUGGUUUGUGGAAGCAACUUUUGAUAAAUCACCAUAGUUACAUAUCGAUUAGCACUAACCUGCUCCAGGGCAGGCUAACUUAAGUGUAGCUGGAUAAGCUUGCCACACCCCCAGAAAAAGGAGGGAUCCCAUUGACCAAGGACUGAUAUUAGAUAGUUAAUAAGAUUAGCGGAGGGAGAGAGUUCUUUGCAAUCGCCAAGAUCAAUUAUUCUUGUAUGAGCGCUACCGAUUCAGCCGACAAGGAAUCAUUAAUUUACAAGACCUUCUCGAGUGAUUUAUUGCAAACACCACAGUCGAACAUUGACUGUCUUGCGCUUUUUUGCGAGUGAUACAUUUUUGUAGUGUCGGUGAUGCGAAGAACAACAGUUAUUCAUACACACAUAUCACCCUAUAAACAUCCCAACACACCUUGCUCUCACAGCGGUGGUGGUGUUGAAUUUGGCCAUGAUUAUGGUCUUGUAUUCAUCAUAAGCGUUCAUGUUCAUCUCCUACUCGCCAGCGGAGAAAAAAUAGCCCUUUUCUUUGAGUUUAGAACCAUUAUACCGUUAGAAAAUCAUGGUUUUGGUGAUCGACCUUUCCUGCCUUUUGAAGUAGGACGUGCACGCGCAAAUGCCAUGAUAACUUUAGCCUGGUUGAAAUUAACCACAUGAUUUGGAUGCGGAUCAGCCGUUAACGAACCGAUAUUUGCUGUUCUCAAUCAGCUCGCUAAUCUUAACGGGCUAAAAGGCUAAUUGAUUAACUUAGCUUCAACC